CCUCCGGGCCACUCAGAUCCACAUCCACGCCUCGUCCUUCCGCAGGAACAGACUUUCCCCUUUCUUUCUUUCUUCUUCUUCUUCUUUUUUUUUUUUUUUUUUUUGGUGAACGUGUGAGCCUCACUCCUGCCAAGGCCUCCCAGCUGCUCAUAUUUGUUUAAGUUUAACCUUAGCUGAUCCACUGGAAAAGGAAACAGUCUAGUUUGUCAAGCCAGGAGACAGCUGCUGCUCUUUGGAGACCUCCCUUACACCCUGGAAAUCUGACGCUGCUAGUUCCCGAGGCCAAAUACUACCACGCUCUCAAAACCUCCUGCCAUAAAGCAGCGUAAACAAUCGGCCAAGUCCACGUCUUACAUCAGUGCCACCGCGGGACACCCUGUGGGAACUCAGUACUGGGACAGAUUUUCACUCGUGCCAUCAGCUGAGGCAACAGCACAGCCGGAAAUCCACGGGAACCCAGAAGUAUGAACUUCACCGCCUCCCUCCUUUACAUCUGACCACUCUGGACUUUCAGUUUCCUUUCACUAACCCUGACCCUGACGAGGUGUGAACAACUUGAAUGAGUUCUCCAGGUGGAAAACGCAGGAGAGCAAGUGAGAGAGAGUGUUCCAGUCAGUGUAACUGAGGCCUGAGCAAGCCUGGACUUCACAGCUGCAAGCAGCCAAUGGGUACUCAGGACAAAAGGGCCUGGGGACCGCAUUGGGGACUACAGAGAAGACAGCACACAGCCGUCUAAUGGACGUCCCAGUUUCUAGUGCUUUCCUUGGAGAGGCUGUGGAUCUGCCGACUGUCCCAUGCUCCUGCCCCAGGUGCAGCAAGGGGCCUGGACUGCAGGGCGGGGGGUUCAUGCCCUUGCUCCUGUGCGGCAGGCUCCGGGCUCUUGGGUCACCAUUCGCCGGUGUGAAGGGACAACAGGAGAGCCCCACAGCCCAGCACUGGGAGACUUCUUGGCUCACCAGGCUGGCAGGGCUCAAAACCCAAGUGAGAGAAGGUUCUGGCCGCUUACUGGGGAGCUGACAAUGAAGGCCUUCAGACAGUCACUCAUUCAUGCCAGCCAUCAAUGAAGAAAGGGAAGCAGAUGCCAACCCCAGAGAGACGCCAGGGGAAGGCUGUGUGGGCAGAGAGAAGGGAUGGAGAGCUGCACAGGGGAAGAACCUCUGCGUGUCACAGACAAAACAACCUGCGAGUCUGUCACACCGCGAAGACACCUCGGCUCUGGAAGAGCUAGCUCCUCAGGGCACAAGAACUUCGGUGUGUGUGUCUGCCUGACCCUCUCCUCCCUCUUUCUGUGCACUGAGACAGCGUCUUGCUAGGUGGCCCUGGCUAGCUUAGAACUCUGUCGUCCAGGCUGGCUUCACACUUGCUAUCCGGCUCAGUACUGAGACUAGAACUGCACGCCACAAUAAUGCCUGGCUGUGUCCCCACAAGCCAGACCUAACCUAAGCACGCUGGCCUAAACCACUUUUCUAUCCCUGGAAUAAUGACCAAGGCAAUGAAUAGAAGAAACCGAGGGCUUAAUUCUGAACCACAAGCGUGAGGCAGAGAGUGAACUAGAAAUGGUUUACGCUUUCAUAGCUGCCAUACCUCCUCCAACAAGGCCACACCCAAAAAAUGCCACCAACUGGGGACCAAGGGCUCCAAGGUCCGGGCUAUGGAGGACAGCGGAUUCAAACCAUCACACGGUGCAAGUCUGUAAUUCAGUUCAGGGUGCUGAGGCAAGAGGACUGCUUUGAGUUCAAGGCCAGUCAGGCUCACAGCAAGCCAGAAAGAGCACUGAAGACACGUGUGCCCAGCAGUCCCGGCACAAGGCUGCACUGUUCUUGCGGGCACAUGCUUUCUCCAGGAGACACGGUCACUACCACAACCCUGAUCCAAAGGAGUCCAUUCCGGCCCAUACAACCUGAGAACGGAAGAGAAUUCGAGUGGGAGCCAAGAGGUGCAAGAGACAGCCCAUCCCAGUGACUCCCCUCGGGUCUAUUUCAGACAGGACAGCUGGGAUGCGUGGAGGCUGCUCUGGGACACUCUGGUGUGAGUGGUCACCUCCUGUCUCUGCAGUGCCUCUAAGUGAUGAGACGGUAAGGGUGGACUCAGUGGACUAGGACUUAUGUCCCAGCUCUAACAACACUGGACAUCCAUAGCCAUAUUUUUUCUCUUCUGUAGCUGCUGUAAUGUUCAGCCUGUUCGAGUCUCAAAGACACAACUAAGUUAUUCCUC